rnacentral:lncRNA from 1 species
CUUAACUUUUGGCUGAGACUCCCAGGAUUGUGUGUCUUGACUUGAAAUUACUUUAGAUCUGUACUGCUCUAUAUGGUAAAGACUACUAUAUGGGGCUACUGAGCACUUACAAUGUUGCUAGACCAAGAUGGGAUGUGCUAUCAGUGUAAAAUACAACACUAGAUUUUAAAGACUUGGUACCAAAAAAAAUGUUAAAUAUCUCACGAUGUUUUGUAUUUUAUUACAUUUUGAAAAUUUUGGGAGUUUUGGGUUAAAUAUAUAAUUACAUUUUAUUUCAUUUGUUUCAUUUUUUUAUGUGGCUAUCAGAAAAUUUAAUAUUACACAUGUGGCUUGCUUUAGAUUUCUACAGGACGGUGUUGUCCUAGACUAUCUGCCUAAAAGGUAUGUUGCAUUUCCCCACAACAUCCCUCCACCUCCUUUCACUUUAAUCUAUAAUGAAACAUCCUCUAAACUGUUUCAUAGUUUUUCUUGUGUUAAUAUUUCUGAUUGAUCUUGAUUGAUAUUUCUGAUGCAUGAGCUAUUCUACCACCUCUGUGAACAUGACUAUUUUAAAUAAGGCAUAGUUUCCUACCACCAUAUUCAAUGUUGGGUCUUACCACACCAAAUCCCAGUGAACUGGAGAUUUACCAUUCUGUGGCUACUUUAUUACUUAUACCAUGAACAAUAUGGUUAAGAACACAAGGACUGGAGCCUGGCCAUCUGUUUUGGAGUCCUGACUCUAAUACUUAAUAGCUGUGUAACUUUGUUACUUUUUUUUUUUUUUGAGACGGAGUUUCACUCUUGUUGCCCAGGCUGAAGUGCAAUGGCAUGAUCUCAGCUCAUCGCAACCUCCACCUCCCGGGUUCAAGCGAUUCUCCUGCCUCAGCCUCCCGAGUAGCUGAGAUUACAGGCCUGCGCCACCAUGCUUGGCUAAUUUUGCAUUUUCAGUACAGACAGGCUUUCUCCAUGUUGGUCAGGCUGGUCUCGAACUCCUCACCUCAGGUGAUCUGCCCACCUCGGCCUCCCAGUGUUGGGAUUACAGGUGUAAGCCACUGCGCCCGGCUUACUUUGUUACUCUUAAUAUCUCUGUGCCUCAGUUCCUAAACUAAAAAAAGGAGAUGAUACAGUGUCCACUUCAUAGGGCUGAGGAUUAACUGAUAUUGGUAAAGAGCUUAGAAUGGUACUGAGCAUGCAGUAUGUAUGCAGUAAUGAAUACUAUUUCUAUCAUUAUACACAUCUCUCACCCUUCCCACCUACUGAUAUGUUGGCACCUUUCCUGGUGGUGGUGUUUUAUCCGAAUCUGAGAUUUUAAGCUCAGAUCUUCUAACUCCAAACUGCUAGUUCCUGGAUGAGUGGCAUUUGAGUAAGGUACUAAAUCUUUCUCAUUUUUCAGUUUUCUCCUCUGUGAGAAUGCCACCUUCCUUGCACAAGUCUGAAUGACACAACAUAUAUAAGGUUCCUUGCAUGUUCCUUAGCAUUUAACGAAUAUAUCAUAUCACCUUUCUGGUUUAUUACAUGUGAUUCUCACAACACACUAUAAGACAGAUAUUUUAUAAAGAAGGAAACAGGAUCCGGGAAGACUCGCCUGAGGUUGCACAGAUUAGCUACAUGACAGCGCCAAUAUUGGAACGAGGUCUCAGUCCGACUCAAAUGUUUUUUUCAUGAAAUUAAAGCUGCUUUUCUAAAAGCAUGAGCCCUAGAACUAAAUAAAUUCAUGCUGUUUAUGGUAUUCCAAUGCCUAAAGAAAUGCAAAAACCAGCAAAGUAAAUCUACUGCCGUGUUGCCCAUUGAAACUGCAACAGAAAGUCAAAAUACAAGUUUUGUUAACACCGCUAUAAGUCUUAGAGACGACGACGCGGGUGACAUGUCAGUAAACAAAACAAAGCGAACAGUUACUCCUUUAGCUCCCCGAGGAAACUGCGGACCGCGUCCCAUACACAGUCCGCAGGGGUACCAUAGUCGGGCCUUCCGGGCUGGGCUGGUCCCUGCCGAGGCUACGCAGCCCGGCCACCCCCAGACCUAGAGGAGGCCAACGCCACGCCUGCCCGCCGGAC